AUCAUCAUUGUUAUUUACACAUCUAUGUAAUUGUAUUUUACAUAAGAGUUCUUCAACCCAUUAGAGCCAGUUUGUGACUUUCAAAGUUAUGCUAUUUGCAGUUUAUAAACUGUCACUCUUGGCUAUGAGGGCAAUAAGGCUCUGAAGGAAUUAAGGGGAUAGAUGUCUGUGCUGAUGGAAAUCAAUCACAACCUCAUUUGCUCAUUGACUUAAAACAAAAAUAUACACAGAGAAGUGAAAUAAUAAAUAACUGCAUGAACAUUAUUACUCAUGUAUUGCAUGUACGUCCUAUAUGUUUAUUAUACUACAAGUUCCAUAUUAUUGGUAUCAAUGAGAUGUAAGCAAAUAAAUGUUACAUUAUGCAUACUUUAAUAUGAAAACUAAUCGAUCAACUCUCUAAGAGUUAAUGAUAAAUUAGCAGCAUGCUGGCUUAUCGUGCACUAUUCUAUUGAUUAGUUAGCAGUUUUUUAUUUGCUACCAAAAUUAAAUACUUUUUUUACAGGUUAUUUUAUAAUAAAUUUAAUAAGAAGGCUAGUACAUAUCCUUAGCAAUGUUUAGUAAACAUAAUCCAAUUUAAUACAGAAUUGGUUAUAUAUUUUUCAAAGGUAAUAGUUAACAGCCAAAAUUUAGGAGAGAUGUCCCACCAAGACUCAAUCAACA